AGUGAACGCUGGCGGUAGGCCUAACACAUGCCAGUCGAACGGCAGCACAGUAAGAGCUUGCUCUUACGGGUGGCGAGUGGCGGACGGGUGAGGAAUACAUCGGAAUCUACUUUUUCGUGGGGGAUAGCGUAGGGAAACUUACGCUAAUACCGCAUACGACCUACGGGUGAAAGCAGGGGAUCUUCGGACCUUGCGCGAUUGAAUGAGCCGAUGUCGGAUUAGCUAGUUGGCGGGGUAAAGGCCCACCAAGGCGACGAUCCGUAGCUGGUCUGAGAGGAUGAUCAGCCACACUGGAACUGAGACACGGUCCAGACUCCUACGGGAGGCAGCAGUGGGGAAUAUUGGACAAUGGGCGCAAGCCUGAUCCAGCCAUACCGCGUGGGUGAAGAAGGCCUUCGGGUUGUAAAGCCCUUUUGCUGGGAAAGAAAAGCAGCAGGUUAAUACCCCGCUGUUCUGACGGUACCCAAAGAAUAAGCACCGGCUAACUUCGUG
rnacentral:rRNA from 1 species